GGUUCAUUGGUCUAUGGGUAUGAUUCUCGCUUCGGUUGCGAGAGGACCCGGGUUCAAUUCCCGGAUGAGACCU
rfam:Danio rerio chromosome 3, GRCz11 reference primary assembly.